rnacentral:lncRNA from 1 species
UCAAACCUUCAACUCUACACAAUUUCCAUUUCUUUGAUCCCUAUCUUUUUCUUUCUUUUUAUUUUUACAUCCACACAACCAUGAGCAUUUUCUUUAUUUUUUUUCUAUCAUUUCUUUUUCGUUGCUCUAUGGUUUCAAGGGUGAUUUCUUUUUCUUGUUUCUUUUCAUACUUUUACCCUUUCAUAAAAACUCACUUCUCCAAGUUUCUAACCAAC